UGGAGAAGCAGGGCACGUGCA
rnacentral:miRNA from 43 species